CAUGAAGUCAGACAAGUGAACCCGCUGAAUUUAAGCAUAUCAAUAAGCGGAGGAAA
rnacentral:rRNA from 2 species